UACGUAGGAUGCAAGCGUUGUUCGGAAUUACUGGGCGUAAAGCGUGCGCAGGCGGUUCGUUAAGUCAGAUGUGAAAGCCCCGGGCUCAACCUGGGAACUGCAUUUGAAACUGGCGAGCUUGAGUGUGGCAGAGGGGGGUGGAAUUCCGCGUGUAGCAGUGAAAUGCGUAGAGAUGCGGAGGAACACCGAUGGCGAAGGCAGCCCCCUGGGCCAACACUGACGCUCAGGCACGAAAGCGUGGGGAGCAAACAGG
rnacentral:rRNA from 1 species